AUUGAACGCUGGCGGCAGGCCUAACACAUGCAAGUCGAGCGGAUGAAGGGAGCUUGCUCCUGGAUUCAGCGGCGGACGGGUGAGUAAUGCCUAGGAAUCUGCCUGGUAGUGGGGGAUAACGUCCGGAAACGGGCGCUAAUACUGCAUACGUCCUGAGGGAGAAAGUGGGGGUAUUUCGGACCUCACGCUAUCAGAUGAGCCUAGGUCGGAUUAGCUAGUUGGUGGGGUAAAGUCCUACCAAGGCGACGAUCCGUAACUGGUCUGAGAGGAUGAUCAGUCACACUGGAACUGAGACACGGUCCAGACUCCUACGGGAGGCAGCAGUGGGGAAUAUUGGACAAUGGGCGAAAGCCUGAUCCAGCCAUGCCGCGUGUGUGAAGAAGGUCUUCGGAUUGUAAAGCACUUUAAGUUGGGAGGAAGGGCAGUAAGUUAAUACCUUGCUGUUUUGACGUUACCAACAGAAUAAGCACCGGCUAACUUCGUG
rnacentral:rRNA from 1 species